CGGGGUGUAGUUCAGUGGCAGAACGCAGGGCUGGGGGUCCUGAUGUCGGAGGUUCGAUUCCUCUCACCCCGACCA
rnacentral:tRNA from 1 species